rnacentral:rRNA from 1 species
CACGUAGGGCGCAAGCGUUGUCCGGAAUUAUUGGGCGUAAAGAGCUCGUAGGCGGUCUGUUGCGUCCGCUGUGAAAACUCGGGGCUUAACCCCGUGCCUGCAGUGGAUACGGGCAGACUAGAGGUAGGUAGGGGAGAAUGGAAUUCCCGGUGUAGCGGUGAAAUGCGCAGAUAUCGGGAGGAACACCGGUGGCGAAGGCGGUUCUCUGGGCCUUACCUGACGCUGAGGAGCGAAAGCGUGGGGAGCGAACAGG